CAGCAUGGGAUCGUGAUCAUCGCGGUUGGGACAGGUUGGGGUGCGUGCAUCUGGGGUCUAGGACCGCCAUUUUGCUUUCUUUCGACCUUGGUGGUAGCUGUGUCUGCCUGCUGAGCUCUGCGUCGUAUUGCUGUUGUACUCAAGCGCUUGGCGACGUUGCACCCGUGUUACCUUGCGUCUUCUACACGGACUCCAGAAGAACUGGCUUCAACCUCCGGGAAUUGAAAAUGUGAAGAACGUUUCGAGAAACUUGUGGCUGACAAACUUUCUGACGCCGCCGUAGACAAUCUGUUCCGGUUGCUACCAGAGACUGCUUGCUGUUCGACAUGUGCAAGACAUGUGCGACCAACUUACCACGGACAUUUAAUUCUGCCCUCAAGUUCCUCCUGCACGACAGUUCUCGGCCUCCACGCGAGCUCCCGGAAUGCAUGCGACGCUCGGCGAACAUUUCAAACGUCGGGACAUUCACGACGUUACCAUAGGCCUAACGCUAACGGUUUUCCAGUGAGGCCGGAUAAGCGUAUACUUACAAGUCGCAAGUCAUGCCUGCCGCGGACUCGUUUUUCGUUGUGCGCGUUCACCAAACUUCGGCGUCGCCAGGACAAAGAACAAUUCAUUGUGGACCAUUCUCCGAGGGCCCCCCCUCUUCACGGAGUGCUUCGUCAUCGGUCAGCAAGUAAGAUAGGGAGUCCCAGAGCUGGCGAGGGUGGUACGCAGCUUAGAGAAUCUGUCAGUUGAGUUUCUCGAAUUGGCACUCGCUAGGCGUCUAGCUACGCCUAAAAAUUGCGUGAGGUUAGUUUCAUCGUAAAAUUAAGCCCGAAUCUUUGUGGGCGUGCUGCGGCCACAUAUCGGUGUUCGCCGUGACGGAAUUGGAGAGGACGGGCCGCGUCGCAUGGUGUGGCGACGCACGUAGCUUAAGGCAGCUUCCAGUUAGGCAGGUAGCUCACACUAGGCAGGGUAGUUGACAGCCGUCCUCUCUCGAUUUCGUCAGGGAUGACCCGUUCCGAAUGACGUUUCGUGAUGAGGUAGUUCGCGCGCGGUACGGGUUCUAUGAAGCGAAAUGCGGUUUUGAGGAAUUAAACGGCAUACGGAAUUGCCUCGUCAGCUCGUUAGCUUUGUUAAUGCUGCAGAACGUCUUCAUCAGGCUGCAGUUCUGCGCUUCCACGCUGCAGCCAAUGUGAGUGCCCAACCUUGUUGCACUUUUUAUGGGUGUGUAGGCCGUCUGUUUGCCCAUUACUGUGACACGCGCCUCGCGGACAUUGUUCGACGCGCCGCCCACUUUGGCAGAUUUCUUGGAACACGGCCCACGUAUACACGUGCGAACGACGCGUUCAUGGUGAGUACAGCAGUUAUUCUUACGUUCGUAUUGUUUUUUUAAAAAAAAACGUCUGUUGACUGUUUCAGGUGCCUUGUCCCGGCGGGCUGCCGAACAUCUACAUCUGAUCAUGGAAAUCAUCCGAGCAACAGCAGGGAAAUCAAUCGUUGCGGCGUGUUCGGUCGCACCAUGGCAAGUGAGAGUAUUCCAGGCCGGCGCACUUGCGUGCUUAGUUUUGCCGGCUGCAGCUACAUCGGGUCUUCUCCGUGACGGAAUCGAAGAGGUCGGGGUGGGGGCGACUCCUAUAGGACCAGGAUUAGCGAACACGAUAGGCAGGUUAUCUCCCACUAGGCAGGAUAGCUGACAGUUGCCCUCUUUCGAUUUCGUCAGGGACACUGACCCGUUCCGAAUGACCUUGUGAAGCGACCACUAUUUCGUGUCGAGUAGCCCGCGCGCGAUAGUGCGCUCGAGCGAAAUGUGGUUUCGCGAAAGCAAAUUUCAUCCGGAAUUGCCUCGCCAGCUUUGGAUGCAGCCUUGCUCUUCUUCAUGGAGAACGGAUAUGACCACCCCACAGCGCCAUUUCAUUGCAAGUCGUCGCUGCUGUACCUGUUUCCUGUAUGUUCCUCAUAAUCCUUUUUAUUCAUGGUGAUAUGCUUAAUAUGCAGUUUUGAGAUUUACUUCCAGGCAUUUCGUUCCUCGUGCCGCUGAUGUUACAGAAGUCCAUGGAUUGAGCGCAGCACACGAACUAGUAUACACGCGAUCCACCAAAGCCUGUAGAGUUCCUGUUCUUGGACGAGGUAUGCGUCGAAGACAGCCCUGCCCGAGUCCAUGGGGAGAUUGUGUUGGCAGAUCUUCACAUUCAGUCAACGAUCCUCCUGUCAGCAGAAGGAACUUCAGUUUCCAAUGCAGUUGUCUUCCAUUGCGACCCGUGGCAAGAAUAUCGAGCUGGUUCCUCCAGAUCCUACCUAUGUUCCCGAGAUCACCUUGAACUACUGGCCCCAUGGUCAAACACGUUGCCACCCUUGUGCUGCUUUGCUGACGGCAUCAACCAGGCAGAGAGGACAUUGCUGUUGCCUUUGCAAAAGGUUAUCGGCGUCUGUUUUUGAUUGCGGCUCACAGUAAUGAUCUCCAGCGCAGGUCGGUGCACAUCGCCUGCCCUGCCCAUGUUCCAGAGAUAACCUCGAGCAGUGAUGGCAGACUGGCCCUGGCCCCGUCGUUAGCGACCUGCAGACCGAAGAUGACUCCCCACGCCUGGCGCUAC
rnacentral:lncRNA from 1 species